rnacentral:rRNA from 1 species
CGGAGGUGCAAGCGUUGUCCGGAUUAUUGGGUUUAAAGGGUGCGUAGGCGGCCUGUUAAGUCGAUGUUGAAAGUUGCCGCUUAACGGUAAAUGGCAACGAUACUGGCGGGCUUGAGUACAGACGAGGUAGGCGGAAUUGAUAAUGUAGCGGUGAAAUGCAUAGAUAUUAUCAGGAACUCCGAUUGCGAAGGCAGCUUACUAGGCUGUAACUGACGCUGAGGCACGAAAGUGUGGGAGCAAACAGGAUU